CUUUAGUGUCUCAGGCAAGGCCUGCUCUGUGGGAGAGGGGACAGAGAUCCAAAUAGCAUAGUUGUGGAAUGGAAGACUCUGAAAGCCCCUACCUAUGCAUCAGUUCCCAGAGCAGCUGAUUCAGAAGGAAAACUUUACAUUCUCAUUUACACAAGGUGUCCUAGCUUAAGUUUUCCAGAAGUAGAUGCUGACAUGGAAUUUGGAAUGCAAAACAGUCAUG
rnacentral:lncRNA from 1 species